GGAAUUGUUCGCAAUGGGCGCAAGCCUGACGACGCAACGCCGCGUGGAGGAUGAAGAUCUUCGGGUCGUAAACUCCUUUCGAUCGAGACGAACGGCCCCUGGGCUAAUCACCAGGGGAGUGACGGUACCGAGAGAAGAAGCCCCGGCUACCUCCGGGCCAGCAGCCGCGGUAAUACGGGGGGGGCAAGCGUUGUUCGGAAUUACUGGGCGUAAAGGGCUCGUAGGCGGCCAACUAAGUCACACGUGAAAUCCCUCGGCUCAACCGGGGAACUGCGUGUGAUACUGGAUGGCUUGAGUUCGGGAGAGGGAUGCGGAAUUCCAGGUGUAGCGGUGAAAUGCGUAGAUAUCUGGAGGAACACCGGUGGCGAAGGCGGCAUCCUGGACCGACACUGACGCUGAGGAGCGAAAGCCAGGGGAGCAAA
rnacentral:rRNA from 1 species